UAUGACCAUAUCAUAUUGAAACACCAGUUUGUGUAUGAUCACCAAAGUUAAGCAACAUUGAGCCUGGUCAGUACCUAGAUAGGUGACCACUUGGAAGCACUAGGUGUUGUAAG